UACGGGGGGGGCAAGCGUUGUUCGGAAUUACUGGGCGUAAAGGGCUCGUAGGCGGCCCACUAAGUCCGACGUGAAAUCCCCAGGCUUAACUUGGGAACUGCGUCGGAUACUGGUGGGCUUGAAUCCGGGAGAGGGAUGCGGAAUUCCAGGUGUAGCGGUGAAAUGCGUAGAUAUCUGGAGGAACACCGGUGGCGAAGGCGGCAUCCUGGACCGGAAUUGACGCUGAGUGAGCGAAAGCCAGGGGAGCAAACGGG
rnacentral:rRNA from 1 species